rnacentral:rRNA from 1 species
UACGUAGGGGGGCAAGCGUUGUCCGGAAUCAUUGGGCGUAAAGCGCGUGUAGGCGGCCCGAUAAGUCCGCUGUGAAAGUCCAGGGCUCAACCCUGGGAUGCCGGUGGAUACUGUCGGGCUCGAGUCCGGAAGAGGAGUGUGGAAUUCCUGGUGUAGCGGUGAAAUGCGCAGAUAUCAGGAGGAACACCAAUGGCGAAGGCAGCACUCUGGGACGUGACUGACGCUGAGACGCGAAAGCGUGGGGAGCAAACAGG